UCAGGUUACCUGAAGAAAUAACUCUGGAUUCAGCUAUCAGUGCAAUUUACAACUUUUAUUAUCUAAUGAUUUAGAUAAGGGCUAUUCAAGCGUUCAUACUGGGAAGAUGAUUCACCUCAAAAAAAAGUAUCCGCUGAGUUACAGACGUCUGUUUCCCAAUGUGAGUCUAUAGGAAAAAGUAUUUUUGGGCCCAAUGGCAUCACGUGACGAACACGGAAGUUGUAGUACUGCCGUUUGGCCAC